rnacentral:rRNA from 1 species
CCGCCGCGCGCGGCGGGCCUACGGGAGGCAGCAGUGGGGAAUAUUGCACAAUGGGCGCAAGCCUGAUGCAGCCAUGCCGCGUGUAUGAAGAAGGCCUUCGGGUUGUAAAGUACUUUCAGCGAGGAGGAAGGCGUUGUGGUUAAUAACCGCAACGAUUGACGUUACUCGCAGAAGAAGCACCGGCUAACUCCGUGCCAGCAGCCGCGUAUA